GGGACCGUGGGUUAUCCUGGUAUACUUCGGGCCUUGGGUGCCCGUGACCCCGGUUCGAAUCCGGGCGGUCCCACCA
rnacentral:tRNA from 1 species